GACGAAGGGGGCUAGCGUUGUUCGGAAUUACUGGGCGUAAAGCGCGUGCAGGCGGUUGUUCAAGUUGGAUGUGAAAGCCUUGAGCUCAACUCAAGAAUUGCAUUCAGGACUGAAUGACUAGAGGACCGGAGAGGAUAGUGGAAUUCCCAGUGUAGUGGUGAAAUACGUAGAGAUUGGGAAGAACACCAGUGGCGAAGGCGGCUAUCUGGACGGUUUCUGACGCUGAGACGCGAAAGCGUGGGGAGCAAACAGG
rnacentral:rRNA from 1 species